ensembl:lncRNA
AGCGAAUGUUCCGGAAGUUGACAGCCGUGCAAAGAAGAAGGGGUUCGGUGUUGACGGUGAAAGUUAGGCCGGUUUAUAGCAGAGUUUCCGUUGUCGGUUAUUACCGGUCAUUGACCGGAAAACAAUGAGGAGGAACGACAAUUCUAAAUGUCCCCGGUCAGAAUGACCAGUCAUUCUGCGACAGGUCAUUAGGGGAAAGUCGCUACUCUCACAAGAAAAAAAGAAAAGAAAAUUAAAAUGAAAAAAAAAAAAUAUAUAGAAAAUAUAAUAUGUAUAUUUUUAUAUAUAUAUAUUUAUUAGUGCUGUCAGUUAAACGCGUUAUUAACGACGUUAACGCAAACCAAUUUUAAGGGCGUUAAUUUUUUUAUCACGUGAUUAACGCAAUUCUUUUUUUGGCUCAAAACAAAGAAGCAGUAGCCUAGAAUAGAAUAAAUUGUAUUGUUGUCAUUGCACAUGUUACAGAGCAACGAAAUAGCCUGACUGCUAUGUUCAAGGCAGUCAGGUAUGUUGAUAAAAACUACAGUGUUACCCCUUAUGUUUUUUUUCCCAUGAUGACUGAUGAGAAACAACAGUGUUACCCCUUAUAUUUUACUUGACAAGGACAAUUAUUUAUUUGUUUUCAAAUAUGUUUUUUUUCAUGACGACCAAUAAAAAACAACAGUGUUACCCCUUAUGUUUUUUACAUGACGACCGAUAAAAAACCACAGUGUUACCCCUUGUGUUUUUUUUCAUGACGACCAAUAAAAAACAACAGCGUUACCCCUUAUGUUUUUUUUCAUGACGACCGAUAAAAAAUGACAGUGUUACCCCUUAUGUUUUUUUUCAUGACGACCGAUAAAAAACGACAGUGAUACCCCUUAUGUUUUUUUUCAUGACGACCAAUAAAAAACAACAGUGUCACCCCUCAUGUUUCAUUUGAUAAAAACGAAAGUGUUACCCCCUAUCUUUUAUUCGAUACAUUUCGACAGUGUUACCCCUUAUGGAUUUUUCAUGACGACAGAUAAAAAACGAC